rnacentral:miRNA from 1 species
UUUGGCACAUGUUAGGCCGGC